rnacentral:rRNA from 1 species
UACGGGGGGGGCAAGCGUUGUUCGGAAUUACUGGGCGUAAAGGGCUCGUAGGCGGCCAACUAAGUCAGACGUGAAAUCCCUCGGCUUAACCGGGGAACUGCGUCUGAUACUGGAUGGCUUGAAUCCGGGAGAGGGAUGCGGAAUUCCAGGUGUAGCGGUGAAAUGCGUAGAUAUCUGGAGGAACCCCGGUGGCGAAGGCGGCAUCCUGGACCGGCAUUGACGCUGAGGAGCGAAAGCCAGGGGAGCAAACGGG